rnacentral:rRNA from 1 species
UACGGGGGGGGCAAGCGUUGUUCGGAAUUACUGGGCGUAAAGGGCUCGUAGGCGGCCAACUAAGUCAGACGUGAAAUCCCUCGGCUUAACCGGGGAACUGCGUCUGAUACUGGAUGGCUAGAGUGUGGGAGAGGGAUGCGGAAUUCCAGGUGUAGCGGUGAAAUGCGUAGAUAUCUGGAGGAACACCGGCGGCGAAGGCGGCAUCCUGGACCACGACUGACGCUGAGUGAGCGAAAGCCAGGGGAGCAAACGGG